GAUGAACGCUGGCGGCGUGCCUAAUACAUCCAAGUCGAGCGAACAGACGAGGAGCUUGCUCCUCUGACGUUAGCGGCGGACGGGUGAGUAACACGUGGAUAACCUACCUAUAAGACUGGGAUAACUUCGGGAAACCGGAGCUAAUACCGGAUAAUAUAUUGAACCGCAUGGUUCAAUAGUGAAAGACGGUUUUGCUGUCACUUAUAGAUGGAUCCGCGCCGCAUUAGCUAGUUGGUAAGGUAACGGCUUACCAAGGCAACGAUGCGUAGCCGACCUGAGAGGGUGAUCGGCCACACUGGAACUGAGACACGGUCCAGACUCCUACGGGAGGCAGCAGUAGGGAAUCUUCCGCAAUGAGCGAAAGCUUGACGGAGCAACGCCGCGUGAGUGAUGAAGGUCUUCGGAUCGUAAAACUCUGUUAUUAGGGAAGAACAAAUGUGUAAGUAACUAUGCACGUCUUGACGGUACCUAAUCAGAAAGCCACGGCUAACUACGUG
rnacentral:rRNA from 1 species